CUAUUUCGGAACGAUGGCUUGGGGCAUCGUGUGACCGCCUGAGCACAGGUGUGUUAGACGGGCGCCACCGCCCCCUGGGGGCCAUGGAAACCGACCCCUGCACCUCCAGAGACCCGGUCCCCCCACCCAUUUUGCCGGAACAGCUCAGCAGAAGUCCCGAUCAGGCCUCUCCAAUUCCGAUUCUGGUCAUUUUCUGCGAUUCCUGAAGUUACCGUUUUCGGUUCACCCGACUGAAAAGGCAGCUGAAUGAAAUUUUCCCAGAACGGCUAAUCUUUGUUGAAGAGCCAGUACCGCAGCCCUCUGAGGAUUUUGAGGUCUUUGUAGCCGGCAGGCUGGUGCAUUCUAAAAAGGGAGGAGAUGGAUAUGUGGAUGGCUACUUGAAUGAAUCAAAACUGGUCAAGGUUGUGGCUCAGAUCAGGGCUGAGCUGAAAGACUUGUAACUUCACAGCUGAACCAACACAGAUGAGGAUGGAAGGCCUCACCCACCCUGCAGUGGGAGAGCUUGGGCUCUGACUCUACGGAAUGGGGAGUGCGGAGAGAUUCCAGAGAUCAAGCUUGGGAAUUUCACCUCCCUAUCAUCUUCUGACCAGCUUGUCUUUUUCCAUCUCCCUCUUCUCAAGUUUGGGGCAACCUCCUCCCUCUCUCCUGCUCCAGCUUAAUGACAGGAAAGAUGGAACAUAACCUCAGAAGCUGGGUCCUUCUUUGAUGGCUGCUGGGCACUGGGGGGAAAGAUUUAACAACAAUGUGCCCCUUUUA